GGAUGUGAGGGCAACCUGGCUGUGACAUCUGUCACCCCAUUAAAUGCCAGGGUUGAUUUGGCUGAUCUGGCUGGCUAGGUGGGUGGCCACUUCCUCCCUUACCGCUCCAUGUGUGUCACUCCUGAAGCUGUGUGCUCGAUCGAAGAUGAUGACCAUCCCUGAUAGAGAAGGACUGGUCUUCAGUCAAGGGUAUACGAGUAGCUAUGCUGUCUUGCUAGAACCUCCAAACAAGCUCUCAAGAUAAACGGUUGUGCAGACAAAGGUUUGAUUAUGCAGCUGAAGCCUCCAGGUAGUAGGUUUCAGAGCU
rnacentral:snRNA from 2 species